rnacentral:rRNA from 1 species
UACGAAGGGGGCUAGCGUUGUUCGGAUUUACUGGGCGUAAAGCGCACGUAGGCGGAUCGUUAAGUCAGGGGUGAAAUCCUGGGGCUCAACCCCAGAACUGCCUUUGAUACUGGCGAUCUCGAGUCCGGAAGAGGUGAGUGGAACUCCUAGUGUAGAGGUGGAAUUCGUAGAUAUUAGGAAGAACACCAGUGACGAAGGCGGCUCACUGGCCGGUACUGACGCUGAGGUGGCGAAAGCGUGGGGAGCAACAGGAU